GCGUUGCCGUGGCCGCGGGAUUGUGCCAGCAGCCGCGGUAACUAUCUGUAGAGGUGCGAGCGUUAAUCGGAAUUACUGGGCGUAAAGCGUGCGCAGGCGGUUUUGUAAGACAGGCGUGAAAUCCCCGGGCUCAACCUGGGAACUGCGCUUGUGACUGCAAGGCUAGAGUACGGCAGAGGGGGGUGGAAUUCCACGUGUAGCAGUGAAAUGCGUAGAGAUGUGGAGGAACACCAAUGGCGAAGGCAGCCCCCUGGGUCGAUACUGACGCUCAUGCACGAAAGCGUGGGUAGCAAACAGGAUUAGAUACCCUGGUAGUCCACGCCCUAAACGAUGUCAACUAGGUGUUGGGUGGGUAAAACCAUUUAGUACCGUAGCUAACGCGUGAAGUUGACCGCCUGGGGAGUACGGCCGCAAGAUUAAAACUCAAAGGAAUUGACGGGGACCCGCACAAGCGGUGGAUGAUGUGGAUUAAUUCGAUGCAACGCGAAAAACCUUACCUACCCUUGACAUGUCCAGAAGCCCGAAGAGAUUUGGGUGUGCCCGAAAGGGAGCUGGAACACAGGUGCUGCAUGGCUGUCGUCAGCUCGUGUCGUGAGAUGU
rnacentral:rRNA from 1 species